rnacentral:miRNA from 1 species
AUAUAUUGCCUGUAUGCUGUC